rnacentral:rRNA from 1 species
GAUGAACGCUAGCGGGAGGCUUAACACAUGCAAGUCGAGGGGCAUCACGUCCCGAGUAAUCGGGAUGGUGGCGACCGGCGCACGGGUGAGUAACACGUAUGCAACCUACCCUGUACAGGGGGAUAACCCGGAGAAAUUCGGACUAAUACCCCAUAAAGAUAUUUAGAGGCAUCUUUAAAUAUUUAAAGUUUCGGCGGUACGGGAUGGGCAUGCGGAACAUUAGCUAGUUGGCAGGGUAACGGCCUACCAAGGCUACGAUGUUUAGGGGACCUGAGAGGGUGAUCCCCCACACUGGUACUGAGACACGGACCAGACUCCUACGGGAGGCAG